rnacentral:misc_RNA from 1 species
AACGCACCUUGCGCCCUCUGGUAUUCCGGAGGGCAUGCCUGUUUGAGUGUCAUGAACACCUCACCCCCUCGGGUUUCCGAUUGGGUGGACUUGGGCGUUGCCAGUUACAUGGCUCGCCUUAAAUGUAUUAGCGGUUGUUGACGUAAUAAGUUUCGUCUUGUCGACCGCUCCUAAUCUCCUUAGGGAUGUCUUCGGACACUUCAUGAACUGACCUCAAAUCAGGUAGGACUACCCGCUGAACUUAA